UACAGAGGUCUCAAGCGUUGUUCGGAUUCAUUGGGCGUAAAGGGUGCGUAGGCGGCGCGGUAAGUCGGGUGUGAAAUCUCGGGGCUUAACUCCGAAACUGCAUUCGAUACUGCCGUGCUUGAGGACUGGAGAGGAGACUGGAAUUUACGGUGUAGCGGUGAAAUGCGUAGAUAUCGGGAGGAACACCGGUGGCGAAGGCGGUUCUCUGGGCCUUACCUGACGCUGAGGCACGAAGGCCAGGGGAGCAAACGGG
rnacentral:rRNA from 1 species